CCUACGGGAGGCAGCAGUAGGGAAUUUUCCGCAAUGGGCGAAAGCCUGACGGAGCAAUACCGCGUGAGGGAUGACGGCCUGUGGGUUGUAAACCUCUUUUCUCAAGGAAGAAGUUCUGACGGUACUUGAGGAAUAAGCAUCGGCUAACUCUGUGCCAGCAGCCGCGGUAAUACAGAGGAUGCAAGCGUUAUCCGGAAUCACUGGGCAUAAAGCGUCUGUAGGUUGUUUAGUAAGUCUGCUGUUAAAGACUGGGGCUUAACCCCAGAAAAGCAGUGGAAACUGCUAGACUCGAGUGUGGUAGAGGUAGAGGGAAUUCCUAGUGUAGCGGUGAAAUGCGUAGAUAUUAGGAAGAACACCAAUGGCGAAGGCACUCUACUGGGCCAUAACUGACACUGAGAGACGACAGCUAGGGGAGCAAACGGGAUUAGAUACCCCGGUAGUCCUAGCCGUAAACGAUGGAUACUAGAUGUUAGCACGUAUUAACCCGUGCAGUAUCGUAGCUAAGGCGUUAAGUAUCCGCCUGGGAGUACGCUCGCAAGNGUAGAACUUAANGAAUUGACG
rnacentral:rRNA from 1 species